rnacentral:tRNA from 1 species
UGGAUCACCUCCUAACAGGGAGACAACAAAAUGUUUAAUAUUAUUAUUUUGUCACCUUAGGUCGAUCGGUAUCUCACGUUUUUAAUUUAUUAAGAAUUUCAUUUCCUAAGUUUUUCUAGGUCACACCCAUUAUUUUUCCUGGGCCAUUAGCUCAGGUGGUUAGAGCGCACCCCUGAUAAGGGUGAGGUCCCUGGUUCAAGUCCAGGAUGGCCCAUAUCUCUAUGUUGGGGGUAUAGCUCAGUUGGUAGAGCGCCUGCUUUGCAAGCAGGAUGUCAGCGGUUCGAGUCCGCUUACCUCCACUGAUUACCACCUCUUCCAUAAUCUUUUAGAUAAGGAAAUUUUUUGAGUUGUGAUCAAAUUCUGAACGAAUCUAGCUUCCUAAUGAAAUCAUUAAGAUGCUGGACUCAUUGAAUUAAUUUCAUUGUUUUCAGAGAACCUUGACAACUGCAUAGAUUAUUUUUAAAGACAAUAAGCAUCUUUGAUGAUGCAGAUUUAUUAUUUGUGCGAAUGCAUUAAUAACAAUUCUAUUAAGCUGAUGCUUCAAUUUUGAAGUUAUUGGUCAAGCUACAAAGGGCUCACGGAGGAUACCUAGGCACACAGAGGCGAUGAAGG